rnacentral:rRNA from 1 species
UACAGAGGUCUCAAGCGUUGUUCGGAUUCAUUGGGCGUAAAGAGCGUGUAGGCGGCCACUUAAGUCCUGCGUGAAAUCUUGCGGCUCAACCGCAAGCGGUCGUGGGAAACUGGGUGGCUAGAGUGCGGGAGAGGAGAGUGGAAUUCCUGGUGUAGCGGUGGAAUGCGCAGAUAUCAGGAAGAACACCCGUGGCGAAGGCGGCUCUCUGGAACGCAACUGACGCUGAGACGCGAAAGCGUGGGGAGCAAACAGG